GAGACAGUAAGAGGUGGCUCGUGUUAUCAUGAGACUGUCGUGGUGAUAAAAGAUUGCAGAGAGCAUACUGACUGGACAGCCAGCCUCUGAUGUCCCAGGGUGAGCUGCCCAGCUCAGACACAAAGCAACAGGACAAUUUUGCAAGAGCCGCCAGUUGCUCCUUCUAAGUCAGGAGCAUGGGGCCACAUCCAAAGCCACGCACCUUGAGCCCGCUGUCCUAACCCACCAGUUGCUAAGGAUGAGGUGCUAGAACAUCUCCUCGUGUGCGGGUUUUUUUUUUUUUUCCCCUUCCUUUUAAUGGCAUCUUUUUUCUUCUGUGUUCACUGUGUUUAGCAUCCUGCAAAGAAAGCAAAUGUCUCCAGACUGGGAGCAGGGUGUGGUAGCCUAGGCGAUGCAGGAAGACAGGUGGGGUAGCAGAGGAAAGCUGAGGGCGGGAAGGGGCAGGUGGCUUGGGACUGCACACCUGGCUCACAGCUGCAGUGGCCAGCUGCCCUGGCUGCCCCUGAGCAGAUGGGCUGGCUCACAUGGCUUUUCUCCACCUGUGGAACACCUGGUGUGCAGGACGAGGUGUUCAGGGAUCCAGAAAGGCAGCACUUCCUAAGAGCAUUCGAGGAUAUCUUGACAGGUGGGGCCACAUUCUGUGCAUUCAGUAGAGUCUCUGUGAGGUGGAUCUGCAGGAUCUAAAGAGCCUCUGCUGUGGAAAUGA
rnacentral:lncRNA from 1 species